rnacentral:lncRNA from 1 species
GGAUUAGCUUUUAGCAAAAGCAAGAAGCAAGAGAUUUUGCAAACCAACAUUCCACACAGAACUCUCAGGAACUGGGGAACUGAAGACAGGGGCAGUUGUUGGACUCCUCUGGAACAGAUAGAGGCUGCUGAUUUUUCUCUAGCAGUCAGGAGAACCAAGAGGGUUUCUGGCUGGUAUUUCUGGGGUGGAUCUAUCCUGCCUGAUGUUGCUGUCAGUGCUGCUGAUGUCAAGUGGAUUUCAACAGAGCUGUUACUGGAACAACUGCUUGAAUCAAAGAGGACUCCUAUGUUACUUUGUGUACAGUCUCCGUCAGUGCUGCUGUCACUAAAGCUCACUAUCACCUGUUGAAGUAGCCAAGUGCUUUGUGGGGAUAUUUGGAAUUGAACGCAUUUUCACUGAAAUUUCUAACGUAAAUCAACUAUUCUGAGAAACUAAAUCCAUAAGUAUGUACUGGUCUUUUGCAUUGAAAGGCAAACAUGUUUUGCCACUCAGUUCACUGUACUUUUAUGUCUGUAUCUUUAUAUACCCAAAUCUGUAGAUAAGGCCAAAUGAAGAACAUCUAAUUUAAGAAUCUCUUUCCUAAGUCAAGUCACUCGUCUUUCUUGUUAAUUUAUGCAGUCUCUAAUUAUAAAUGAUUUUUCCAGUGAACGGAUGAACCACAGUUUGUGCCUAAAAAAAUAAAUAAACCUGCCGAAUGCUGCUAAUACUAAAA